rnacentral:rRNA from 1 species
UACGUAGGGGGCUAGCGUUGUCCGGAUUUAUUGGGCGUAAAGAGCUCGUAGGCGGCUUGUCGCGUCAACUGUGAAAACCCGUGGCUCAACCAUGUGGUCUGCAGUCGAUACGGGCAGGCUAGAAUUCGGUAGGGGAGAAUGGAAUUCCUGGUGUAGCGGUGAAAUGCGCAGAUAUCAGGAGGAACACCGGUGGCGAAGGCGGGUCGCUGGGCCGAUAUUGACGCUGAGGAGCGAAAGCGUGGGGAGCGAACAGG